AUCGACGAUAACAUCGUGACGUUAAACGAGCAGAUUUCUUUGUGCAGACAGUUCCAUGGGAGAAACUCGUUGCACGGUUUUGUUUCGUCAAACUCUAUUAACUGUGUGGCUCUGUGGCUGGAGCUCUGCGUUGAAACUCUGCGGCGACGUUAUUAACCUAUUCAGUCUACAUUGUAAUGCACGUAGAGUUAAAUAUUGUCCGUAUGCAUACGAAAGCUUUCGAAACGUAAAAUUCGUGUAUCGAUUUCUGAUGAGGGUUCAGGCAGAUUUUCGACGGCUCGAAGACGAUGUUAAUUCAAUUUUUCUACACUUUCGCGGCAGCACGACGGAAUAGCGCCGUUCGAAGAGACAAUUCGUGGAAGACGGGGAUUCAGUGACAGUAAUUGGGGCUCGCGGACACAGUUUCUUCGGAUGCAAAUUGGAAAUGCAUAAAAGAUGAAGAACACUGUACUGGACAAGAUGUAAAUGACUGCAUGCAAAUGUUGACUGAUUGCAAAGUUGCAAGCGUUACAUUAUACCUCGAGUAAUCUAGAACAACGUCGCGGCAACAAAACAUCGACCCCCCUUUUCUCGCGCCGAGACAAAGGGCAAUCAGCUUAUGCGUCGGUAAAAAUUGAAAGCCCUAAACAGUGUAAUGCAAUGAAGGCAAGAGCGAGGAAAAAUGUACUCGCGUAGAAUUUAGAACUCUAAAACGAGCUGGCUCGUAACGUGCCUGUGUGUCGAAGUGUUUGGUUAGUGGUAUUUAAAUAAUUCUAUUUUUAUAUAGUUGCAGUGGAUAAAAUCUACAUUCAUGUAUCUAUGGUGCAAUGCAGCGGGAACGUGUAAAAAUGUACUCGCGUAGAAUGUAGAACUCUAAAACGAGCUGGCUCGUAACGUGCCUGUGUGUCGAAGUGUUUGGAAGUGCACGUGAGCGCUGAUUUCCCGAUCACGGAAAAAGUUUCCAUUCAUUGUUCGGCGGCCCCGAAGAAGAAGCUCGCUCCUAUUUGCGCCGGUUCUUUCAACGCGAUGGAACAGAAGUUGCAAAGGAGGUGCGAUACCUGUUGCACACGAGCAUCGCGGGAACGAGUCAACCGCCGGAUACGAAACUUAAUGUUUCGGAUAAUGUGCCAGUCGACAAUAUCGCGUCGCGAUCUCCUACCACUGCUUGAUAGUCAUUCGAGCGCCGUUUUGGAAAGGAGUCUCAGUAGGGCACCAUUUGCAUCAGGAGACAUAUAUGUACAUUUCAAAGGCGGCACUUGCUGAGGAUGACUGCGAGCACCUGGUCCACCAGCGGGCUGGGGAACACCACCAGCAGCAGCGGCUGCUGCUCGCUGCCUCAGGCUCUGCUGGGUGAAGUUGAUGGUCUGGGACUGCGAGAC